CUACGGAGGAUGCGAGCGUUAUCCGGAUUUAUUGGGUUUAAAGGGAGCGUAGGUGGGAUAUUAAGUCAGCUGUGAAAGUUUGGGGCUCAACCUUAAAAUUGCAGUUGAUACUGGUUUCCUUGAGUACGGUACAGGUGGGCGGAAUUCGUGGUGUAGCGGUGAAAUGCUUAGAUAUCACGAAGAACUCCGAUCGCGAAGGCAGCUCACCGGGCCGGAACUGACACUGAUGCUCGAAAGUGCGGGUAUCAAACAGGAUUAGAUACCCUGGUAGUCCGCACAGUAAACGAUGAAUACUCGCUGCUUGCGAUACACGGUAAGCGGCCAAGCGAAAGCGUUAAGUAUUCCACCUGGGGAGUACGCCGGCAACGGUGAAACUCAAAGGAAUUGACGGGG
rnacentral:rRNA from 1 species